GGGCGAUUAGUUUAAUCGGGAAAAUCCUUGAUUUGCAAUCAAGACUAGUGGGUUCGAUUCCCUCAUUGUCCACCA
rnacentral:tRNA from 1 species